rnacentral:rRNA from 1 species
UACGAAGGGUGCGAGCGUUAUUCGGAGUUAUUGGGCGUAAAGAGCGUGUAGGCGGUUGAACAAGUCAGUUGUUAAAGAACUCAGCUCAACUGGGUAAAGGCAAUUGAAACUGUUCAGCUAGAGGGUAAGAGAGAGAAGCGGAAUUCUCGGAGUAGCGGUAAAAUGCGUAGAUCUCGAGAGGAACACCGGUGGCGAAGGCGGCUUCUUGGCUUACUACUGACGCUGAAGUGCGAAAGCGUGGGGAGCAAACAGGAUUAGAAACCCGAGUAGU